rnacentral:rRNA from 1 species
AUUGAACGCUGGCGGCAUGCUUUACACAUGCAAGUCGAACGGCAGCGCGGGCUUCGGCCUGGCGGCGAGUGGCGAACGGGUGAGUAAUGCAUCGGAACGUGCCCAGUAGUGGGGGAUAGCCCGGCGAAAGCCGGAUUAAUACCGCAUACGACCUGAGGGUGAAAGCGGGGGACCGAAAGGCCUCGCGCUAUUGGAGCGGCCGAUGUCGGAUUAGCUAGUUGGUGGGGUAAAGGCUUACCAAGGCGACGAUCUGUAGCUGGUCUGAGAGGACGACCAGCCACACUGGGACUGAGACACGGCCCAGACUCCUACGGGAGGCAGCAGUGGUGAAUUUUGGACAAUGGGGGCAACCCUGAUCCAGCCAUGCCGCGUGCGGGAAGAAGGCCUUCGGGUUGUAAACCGCUUUUGUUCGGGAAGAAAUCCUCUGGGCUAAUACCCCGGGGGGAUGACGGUACCGGAAGAAUAAGCACCGGCUAACUACGUG